GGGUCUUAUUUAGUAUUAUGGUAGUUGGUUAUGUUAAAAGCUAACCAAGCCUUAGAUGCUUAGCAGGCUUUAACGAGUGAUCUGCCACAACGGGGCUUUGAAAAUAGUGCCUGAACAUUUAUGGCAGCAGUAAAGAAUCUUGGGCAAUGCAUUCAAGUGUGACCCAGCAAGUCUCCGUGGAUGAUGAAGAUAUUAAAUUAUAUUGUAAAAUUCUAUCUUUUUAUAUUUAUAAUGAAAAUAUAAAAAGGAAAGCACAGGCUAAAUUCGUGCCAGCAGCCGCGGUAAUACGGAUUGUGCAAGUCUUUGACCUCGUGACUAGGUGUAAAAGGCCACAUAGGAGGUUAUAUAAGUUAUUGAGUAAAUACAGGGUAUAAACCUUGGAAUCUCAAUAAAACUUUAUAACUAGAAUAUAAAAGGGGUUUAAGAUAUCUUCUAAGUAAAGGUGAAAUUUGUAGAAAUAGAAGGGAUG
rnacentral:rRNA from 1 species